GAAGAAAUGAAGGUUUUAGAUGUAAUAAUACAAAAAUACCCUCAUGUGCAAUGCACAUGGGGGCCUUAACGGAGAAAGACUGACGUUCGUUAGUCAAAAGGGCAAGUAAUGAAAUUAACACAAACCAUAAGGGUACCUAGCAAUGAAAAAAAAAGCACAUGGUGAAAACAGAUAAUAUUGACAACUACAGGGGCACCUAAUGAAAUUUACUCAAAUAAAAUACUAAAAAGUUACCGUUGAUGACACCUACAGACUACGGUUAAUAUUACUGUAAUAUACAUUAUACAACAACAAUGUAGCCGGAGAUCAUAUCACUGCUCCUUAAUUACGCUCAGUCCCAGAUUCACGUUAACAUUUCAACAACACAACAAUUUGUCCCUCUUAAUAUUUUAAAAUGUGGUUGUAGGUUUAUUUGGCAACAAUCCAAGCUUCCACAUCCAUUUGCUACAGUAAAGUGAUGUCAUGUAUGUAUAUUCGUAUAUACGUUUCGUAUCUAUAUAGUAAAGUGAUACAUUUAUGAAGGAUGAUGAUAUCAACGCUCACACCAUCAACUCCUGAGAGGGAGAAGCUGAUGAAUUUAUAUGGCUAAACUGAAGAGAAGCCACUCUGGCAUUGGAAGGAACAAAUCGAGUCAGAGUAUGCCUUUUGGUUAAUUUGGCUGCCAAUAUUCAUGUGGUGUUGACAAAAAAUUUGUUUCAACCCACUUGAAUGAAUUGUGUAUUAAAGAAAGCUCUUCCUCUUUUGACCAAGCAAUCCACUCAUCAUCAGUUCACAAAGAUGGGCAUCAUAGGUUUAGCUCAACAAGAGGUCACAAAGAUGGGCAUCAAAGGUUUAGGUCAACAGCCUAAUCUUCAACAUAUGCUUAUCGAGAUAGAAAUCAGAUAUCCUGAAAAGCUCGGAAGAUAGGUUGGGUUCUUCGGCUAAGCGACUAGCGGUAUAACCACUGAUGCAUGCGUAAUGCUAAACUCCUAUGAGAUCAAUAAAACAAGAGAGAGGGCGGGUGAUUAGAUCAAGUGACUUGAAGGGAACUUUCUAGAUAUAAAGAGCAGAUUAGAGAACUAAUCCUGGCGGCUUAAUAUUCUAUGAAAGCUUGGGGAAUGAUUAAAAGAGCCAUUGUUGUACAUUUUGUUGGUAUCGUUUGAGAAUUCAUGAGCAUCUGUCAAGGUCUCACUUCUUAUGAUCUUGUUCAUAAAGACAAUAUUGCUGUUGAUCAUUUGGCUUGUCAACAGAUUGGGUGGUUAAAUUAUGACUAAGUUCUCGUCAAUGUUUGACUACUUUCUACAAUUAAUAUGAACGAUACAGUUUCUAUACAUUCUUUGUCACUAUUUGAAGGAUUAUUAGAUUUGAACCUUGAUAUAAAAGGUGCAAAGUGGGGGGUUGGUCAAGUUGGUUAACUAGCCUGACUGGUUUUGGUUAAAUCUGGAUGACAUGACCAAGGUUUUGUCAGGCUUAAUUAUAAUUUAUUUUAUGAAUUUGUAGAAAAUGAUUACAAUAAAGUAUAUAUAUAUAUACUAAUA